CUCAUUAUACUUGCAUUUCACCUAGGGCUAAUCUGAAAUAUGCUUCUUCCAGAAACCAAGUUGAAUUGGGACCCUUCACUUCUCUCUUGUACCACUUAAGGUGCUUACCUUUAUUACUUAACAAAAUUUCCAUUGUCCAAAGAUCUAUGUAUUCAUAUCUAAUAAAUUUCUGACCACAAAAAUUCUUUGGGUUUUUAACAGACAAGAUCAUAAUUGUUUCUGAUUUUCUUCUUAUCAUGCUUGAGGCUGUGAGAGCUGUUAAUGGGUUCUAGUGAUUUCUAUUACUAUUUCCAUCAAUUUUCUCUUAUUAGUUGUCUACACUUACCAAGGCCAAACUAUACUACCACUAAUGGAAUCAAACAUAUCUUGGGUAAAACUGUUUUAUAUAAAAUUCUGUUAUUGAGAUGGUAAACCCUGAAUUUUCUAGUAUUCCAUGUUGAUUGUAGAUUUUAUGAUCUUUUCUUGAGGAGGAUUGGUUUAAACUCAUUGGUAUAGAUCUUGUUAUUUCUCUUGCAAGACUUUAGUAUUGAAUGCGAUACGACAUUAAAAAAAAAAUAAUUGACAUUGUUUUCCCAUUCUUCCACUCCGACCCACCCCAACCCCCCU
rnacentral:lncRNA from 1 species